GCGUUGGAUGUAGCUAAAAAGGGUCGUCCUAGGAUGAUGGGAAUUUGAUUCUUCGGGUUCCUAACCGGCUCGGUCUCUAGGACGACAAAAUCUACGGGAAACACAAAAUCACCUACUUUAAUUAGCACAUCCUCGAUCAUUCCCUUAGGAAUUUUCACGGAUCGAUCGGCUAAUUGAAGUGUGACAUUGGUUUGUCGGAGCUCCCCUAAACCUAA
rnacentral:lncRNA from 1 species